UACAGAGGUCCCAAGCGUUGUUCGGAUUCACUGGGCGUAAAGGGUGCGUAGGCGGCGCGGUAAGUCGGAUGUGAAAUCUCGGGGCUUAACUCCGAAACUGCAUUCGAUACUGCCGUGCUUGAGGACUGGAGAGGAGACUGGAAUUUACGGUGUAGCGGUGAAAUGCGCAGAUAUCGGGAGGAACACCGGUGGCGAAGGCGGUUCUCUGGGCCUGACCUGACGCUGAGGAGCGAAAGCGUGGGGAGCGAACAGG
rnacentral:rRNA from 1 species